rnacentral:rRNA from 1 species
AUUGAACGCUGGCGGAAUGCUUUACACAUGCAAGUCGAACGGCAGCACGGACUUCGGUCUGGUGGCGAGUGGCGAACGGGUGAGUAAUACAUCGGAACGUGCCCAGUCGUGGGGUAUAACGUAGCGAAAGCUACGCUAAUACCGCAUACGAUCUACGGAGGAAAGCGGGGGAUCGCAAGACCUCGCGUGAUUCGAGCGGCCGGUGGCAGAUUGGGGGGUUGGUGGGGUAAGGACUCACCAAGCCGACGAUUGGUAGCGGGUCGGAGAGGCCGACCAGCCACACGGGGACUGGGAAACGGCCAGGACUCCUCCGGGGGGCAGAAGUGGGGAAUUUUGGACAAUGGGCGCAGGCUUGAUCCGGCAAUUCCGCGUGCAGGAUGAAGGCCCUCGGGUUGUAAACUGCUUGUGUACGGAACGAAAAGGCUCUGGUUAAUACCCGGGGCUCAUGACGGUACCGUAAGAAUAAGCACCGGCUAACUACGUGCCAGCAGCCGCCGUAAAAC